CCUACGGGCGGCAGCAGUGGGGAAUAUUGGACAAUGGGCGAAAGCCUGAUCCAGCCAUGCCGCGUGUGUGAAGAAGGCCUUCGGGUUGUAAAGCACUUUCAGUGGGGAAGAAAGCCUUGGGGCUAAUACCCUCGAGGAAGGACAUCACCCACAGAAGAAGCACCGGCUAACUCCGUGCCAGCAGCCGCGGUAAUACGGAGGGUGCGAGCGUUAAUCGGAAUUACUGGGCGUAAAGCGCGCGUAGGCGGUCUGAUAAGCCGGUUGUGAAAGCCCCGGGCGCAACCUGGGAACGGCAUCCGGAACUGUCAGGCUAGAGUGCAGGAGAGGAAGGUAGAAUUCCCGGUGUAGCGGUGAAAUGCGUAGAGAUCGGGAGGAAUACCAGUGGCGAAGGCGGCCUUCUGGACUGACACUGACGCUGAGGUGCGAAAGCGUGGGUAGCAAACAGGAUUAGAUACCCCGGUAGUC
rnacentral:rRNA from 1 species